GCAUAUCAAUAAGCGGAGGAAAAGAAAAUAACAAUGAUUUCCCUAGUAACGGCGAGUGAAGAGGAAAGAGCUCAAAGUUGGAACCUGUUUGGCUUAGCUAAACCGGAUUGUAAACUGUAGAAGUGUUUUCCAGACACGCCUGGUAAAAAAGUCCUUUGGAACAGGGCAUCAUAGAGGGUGAGAAUCCCGUCAUUGGCCAGAGCUGUUGUCUUUUGUGAUACAUUUUCAAAGAGUCAGGUUGUUUGGGAAUGCAGCCUAAAUUGGGUGGUAAAUCUCACCUAAAGCUAAAUAUUUGCGAGAGACCGAUAGCGAACAAGUACCGUGAGGGAAAGAUGAAAAGAACUUUGAAAAGAGAGUUAAACAGUAUGUGAAAUUGUUAAAAGGGAACCGUUUGGAGCCAGACUGGCUUAACUGUAAUCAAUCUAGGCUUUGGCCUGGAUGCACUUGCGGUUUAUGCCGGCCAACGACAGUUUUGUUUGAGGGAAAAAAUUACAUUGAAUGUGGCCCUUCGGGGUGUUAUAGCUUUGUAAAAAAUACCUUGGACUGGACUGAGGAACGCAGUGAAUGCCUUUAGGCAAGAUUGCUGGGUGCUUUCGCUAAUAAAUGCUAGAAUUUCUGCUUCGGGUGGUGCUAGUGUUUAAAGGAGGAACUCGCUUAGUAUAUUUUUUAUUCGCUUAGGUUGUUGGCUUAAUGACUCUAAAUGACCC
rnacentral:rRNA from 1 species